CGGUGCUUGCACUGGUUGGAUUAGUGGCGAACGGGUGAGUAAUACGUGAGUAACCUGCCUUUGACUCUGGGAUAAGCCUUGGAAACGAGGUCUAAUACCGGAUAUGACACAGUUUCGCAUGAAAUCUGUGUGGAAAGGGUUUGUACUGGUUUUAGAUGGGCUCACGGCCUAUCAGCUUGUUGGUGGGGUAAUGGCUCACCAAGGCGACGACGGGUAGCCGGCCUGAGAGGGUGACCGGCCACACUGGGACUGAGACACGGCCCAGACUCCUACGGGAGGCAGCAGUGGGGAAUAUUGCACAAUGGGCGCAAGCCUGAUGCAGCGACGCCGCGUGAGGGAUGACGGCCUUCGGGUUGUAAACCUCUUUCAGCAGGGGAGAAGCGAAAGUGACGGUACCUGCAGAAGAAGCGCCGGCUAACUACGUGCCAGCAGCCGCGGUAAUACGUAGGGCGCGAGCGUUGUCCGGAAUUAUUGGGCGUAAAGAGCUUGUAGGCGGUUUGUCGCGUCUGCUGUGAAAGCCCGGGGCUUAACUCCGGGUUUGCAGUGGGUACGGGCUAACUAGAGUGCAGUAGGGGAGACUGGAAUUCCUGGUGUAGCGGUGGAAUGCGCAGAUAUCAGGAGGAACACCGAUGGC
rnacentral:rRNA from 1 species